AUCCUUUCAACCCAAUGCCUAAGUGCUUUCUCAGGCCUUUGCACAGGUUGCUAUGGGAACACAGAGAGGCAACCUCUUACCUGUUGGCAAUUUGGAGGAAUUGGAAGAUCUGGAGGAAAUGGUCACCAGGACUAGGAUGUGAGAUUUGUGUAUGAAUUGAUCAGGCCAGUGAGGAAGAUGGGCAUGUGCAUUCCAGCAAAGGAAUUCACACUUACGUGUGAAGUGUGAGUGAGGAAAUGACAGUAGGUCAGAGUUUGAGGUUGAACAACGUGUGCUUUCUCUUACGUGGGGUAGAAACAAAUGAAGAAUUUUAAGUAGAGAAGAAGCCCCAGAAAUCUCCAGGGAACACUUGGGAAAUGAGAGAUCUGGAUCUGGGGUCAGAAAACUGAAACCCACGGGCCACAUCCAGCCCACUGCCUGCUUUUGUAAAUAAAGUUAUAUUGGAAC